GACGAACGCUGGCGGCGUGCCUAAUACAUGCCAGUCGAGCGGACCAAACAGGAGCUUGCUCUUGUUUGGUUAGCGGCGGACGGGUGAGUAACACGUGGGUAACCUGCCCGUAAGACCGGGAUAACUCCGGGAAACCGGAGCUAAUACCGGAUAACACCGAAGACCGCAUGGUCUUUGGUUGAAAGGCGGCUUCGGCUGCCACUUACGGAUGGGCCCGCGGCGCAUUAGCUAGUUGGUGAGGUAACGGCUCACCAAGGCGACGAUGCGUAGCCGGCCUGAGAGGGUGACCGGCCACACUGGGACUGAGACACGGCCCAGACUCCUACGGGAGGCAGCAGUAGGGAAUCUUCCGCAAUGGACGAAAGUCUGACGGAGCGACGCCGCGGGAGCGAAGAAGGUCUUCGGAUCGUAAAGCUCGGUUGUUAGGGAAGAAGAAGCGCCGUUCGAACAGGGCGGCGCGGUGACGGUACCUAACGAGAAAGCCCCGGCUAACUACGUG
rnacentral:rRNA from 1 species